GAGUUUGAUCAUGGCUCAGGAUGAACGCUAGCGGCAGGCCUAAUACAUGCAAGUCGAACGCUCAGUAGCAAUACUGGGAGUGGCGCACGGGUGCGUAACGCGUACACAAUCUACCUCUAAGCGGGGGACACCUCCUGGAAACGGGGAUUAAUACCGCAUAAUAUGCCGAAGUCGCAUGACUUUGGUAUUAAAGCAGCAAUGCACUUAGAGAUGAGUGUGCGUCCCAUUAGGUAGUUGGUGAGGUAACGGGCUCACCAAGCCUAUGAUGGGUAGCCGGUCUGAGAGGAUGGUCGGCCACACGGGCACUGAGACACGGGCCCGACUCCUACGGGAGGCAGCAGUAAGGAAUAUUGGUCAAUGGUGGAAACACUGAACCAGCCAUGCCGCGUGGAGGAAUAAGGUCCUACGGAUUGUAAACUCCUUUUGACGAGGAAGAAAAUGUUAGGUUUAUCUAAUUUUGACGGUACUCGUAGAAUAAGCACCGGCUAACUCCGUG
rnacentral:rRNA from 1 species